rnacentral:lncRNA from 1 species
GAAUGGUCUGUGAGUCAGUAAACCUAGACUUGUUGGUGACUUGACCAAAGGUACAGUUUUUAUUUUCUGCACUGUCUCCAAGGUCCAGAGUCUGGGCUGUUCUGUGUUAGCGUACUUAAUUUCAUGCAAAUGCUAUGAAAAUUCCUGUGAAUGUCUAAAAUACAGCCAGCAAGUAUCCUGGGGUCUAGGAAAAUAACACACUGCCAAAAUCAAGACUUUGGAUACGUGGUCUUCACAGUGCUUUGUGUACUCCCUAAGGUAAUUAAUUUCCUUUGAAAAUUCCUAUAGUCACUAGUUAUUUCCUCUUCUUAAGGUAGGUCUCCUUUAGUCCUCAUUGCAUCAGAGCUGGGCAUGUUGUCAGUGUCUGCUUCUCAUGGGACUUAAAAUCAGGCUACCACACACACAGAAACCAUGGGCAAUCUUCUCCUCUGGGAGAAAUUAGGCACAAAUUGAAUGGCAGUUGUGAGCCCUUUUACCACUUAUUACCGAGAGCUGUUUUCCUGAGUCAUCUGCUGAAAAUGGACAAUACAGCAAGGCUGUAAUGACAGUUAAGGUUCAUCCACCAUGGCCUUGUAAAUUCAAAUAACAUACUUAUGUAUUUAUUUCUUGAUUUAUCAACUUUAGGUUAUAUCUAUUUAUG